rnacentral:rRNA from 1 species
AUUGAACGCUGGCGGCAGGCCUAACACAUGCAAGUCGAACGAGUGGCGGACGGGUGAGUAAUGUCUGGGAAACUGCCUGAUGGAGGGGGAUAACUACUGGAAACGGUAGCUAAUACCGCAUACCAUCGGAUGUGCCCAGAUGGGAUUAGCUAGUAGGUGGGGUAAAGGCUCACCUAGGAGACGAUCCCUAGCUGGUCUGAGAGGAGGACCAGCAACACUGGAACUGAGACACGGUCCAGACUCCUACGGGAGGCAGCAGUGGUGAAUAUUGCACAAUGGGCGCAAGCCUGAUGUAUCCAUGCCGCGUGUAUGAAGAAGGCCUUCGGGUUUUAAAGUACUUUCAGCGGGGAGGCGUUACCCGCAGAAGAAGCACCGGCUAACUCCGUGCCAGCAGCCGCGGUAAUUC